rnacentral:rRNA from 1 species
CAGUAGCCGCGGUAAUACAGAGGAUGCAAGCGUUAUUCGGAAUGAUUGGGCGUAAAGCGUCUGUAGGCAGCUUCUCAAGUCUGCCGUCAAAUCCCUGGGCUCAACCUUGGACAGGCAGUGGAAACUACCAAGCUGGAGUAUGGUAGGGGCAGAGGGAAUUUCCAGUGGAGCGGUGAAAUGCGUUGAGAUCGGAAAGAACACCAACGGCGAAAGCACUCUGCUGGGCCGACACUAACACUGAGGGACGAAAGCUAGGGGAGCAAAUGGGAUUAGAUACCCCAGUAGUCCCUGUCUCUUAUAC